rnacentral:rRNA from 1 species
GACGAACGCUGGCGGCGUGCUUAACACAUGCAAGUCGAACGGAAAGGCCCUGCUUUUGUGGGGUGCUCGAGUGGCGAACGGGUGAGUAACACGUGAGUAACCUGCCCUUGACUUUGGGAUAACUUCAGGAAACUGGGGCUAAUACCGGAUAGGAGCUCCUGCUGCAUGGUGGGGGUUGGAAAGUUUCGGCGGUUGGGGAUGGACUCGCGGCUUAUCAGCUUGUUGGUGGGGUAGUGGCUUACCAAGGCUUUGACGGGUAGCCGGCCUGAGAGGGUGACCGGGCACAUUGGGACUGAGAUACGGCCCAGACUCCUACGGGAGGCAGCAGUGGGGAAUAUUGCACAAUGGGCGGAAGCCUGAUGCAGCAACGCCGCGUGCGGGGUGACGGCCUUCGGGUUGUAAACCGCUUUCGCCUGUGACGAAGCGUGAGUGACGGUAAUGGGUAAAGAAGCACCGGCUAACUACGUG